rnacentral:rRNA from 1 species
AUUGAACGCUGGCGGCAGGCCUAACACAUGCAAGUCGAGCGAGCGGCGGACGGGUGAGUAAUGUAUGGGGAACUGCCUGAUGGAGGGGGAUAACUACUGGAAACGGUAGCUAAUACCGCAUACUGUCAGAUGUGCCCAGAUGGGAUUAGCUAGUAGGUGGGGUAACGGCUUACCUAGGCGACGAUCCCUAGCUGGUCUGAGAGGAUGAUCAGCCACACUGGGACUGAGACACGGCCCAGACUCCUACGGGAGGCAGCAGUGGGGAAUAUUGCACAAUGGGCGCAAGCCUGAUGCAGCCAUGCCGCGUGUAUGAAGAAGGCCUUAGGGUUGUAAAGUAUUUUCAGCGGGGAGGCGUUACCCGCAGAAGAAGCACCGGCUAACUCCGUGCCAGCAGCCGCGGUAAUAC